UACAACUUGUACAGGAUAGGUAGGAGCCGUAGAAGUCGGAACGCUAGUUUCGAUGGAGGCAUUGGUGGGAUACUACCCUCGUUGUAUGAACACUCUAACCCUCGCCGGCAAUCACGGCGGGGGACAGGGUCAGGGGGGGAGGUUGACUGGGGCGGGCGCCCCCUAAAAGGGAACGGGGGGGCCCCAAGGGUUCUU
rnacentral:rRNA from 1 species